AGUGAACGCUGGCGGCAGGCCUAACACAUGCAAGUCGAGCGGCAGCGCGUCCGACCACCCUCGGGUGGUCGGAUGGCGGCGAGCGGCGGACGGGUGAGGAAUGCAUCGGAAUCUGCCUCGUUGUGGGGGAUAACGUAGGGAAACUUACGCUAAUACCGCAUACGACCUACGGGUGAAAGUGGGGGACCUUCGGGCCUCACGCGAUGAGAUGAGCCGAUGCCGGAUUAGCUAGUUGGCGGGGUAAAGGCCCACCAAGGCGACGAUUCGUAGCUGGUCUGAGAGGAUGAUCAGCCACACUGGAACUGAGACACGGUCCAGACUCCUACGGGAGGCAGCAGUGGGGAAUAUUGGACAAUGGGGGCAACCCUGAUCCAGCCAUGCCGCGUGUGUGAAGAAGGCC
rnacentral:rRNA from 1 species